rnacentral:rRNA from 1 species
GUAGGUGGCAAGCGUUGUCCGGAAUUAUGGGCGUAAAGCGCGCGCAGGCGGUUCUUUAAGUCUGAUGUGAAAGCCCACGGCUCAACCGUGGAGGGUCAUUGGAAACUGGAGAACUUGAGUACAGAAGAGGAAAGCGGAAUUCCACGUGUAGCGGUGAAAUGCGUAGAGAUGUGGAGGAACACCAGUGGCGAAGGCGGCUUUCUGGUCUGUAACUGACGCUGAGGCGCGAAAGCGUGGGGAGCAAACAGGGAUUAGAUACCCUGGUAGUCCACGCCGUAAACGAUGAGUGCUAAGUGUUAGGGGGUUUCCGCCCCCUUAGUGCUGCAGCUAACGCAUUAAGCACUCCGCCUGGGGAGUACGGCCGCAAGGCUG